ACAGUGGGUGUGGUAGCGUGAACUCAAGUCGUCGAAUGUCACUGUUCUUGACCCACCGAUGCACUCUGUCACAUUCUGGCCUGUCAUCUCCAAAUGUACUCCUCCCGGGUGACUUCCUUCUUGCUCAUGCACAUCAAAGAAUGCUCUCACUUCAGCCUGCAACAACAAAGUAAAAUACUUUAAUAAUACAGCAAGUGAAUUGUUUUGUAUUUUCGGCUAAAAUAUGUAAUAGCUAUUACAAGGAAAGAAAAAUUACAUCUUGUGACAGCUGGCCCCUAAUCUUAACGUGUUCUAUUUACCACCAAAAUUGCUGUCCCCUCAAUUACCAUCCAACCACAAGAAAUGCCUAAAGAAACCUUUCAUAUGGCAAGAUAUGUCCCAACCUAAUCCAAGUGUGAUAGGGGAAAUAUAACCACCUACCUGCCAAAGCCUUCUCUAACUUAAAAUUAUAGUAUGCAUGCCUAAAGAGACCCUCAUUGGACUAUUUUGCCCUGAAGGAAUCUUACAACCUGUCCCUUUCUCACCUGCUACAACAACCCAGUUUUGCUUGCCUCAAUAUCUUUCUAACUAAAAUAAUGUAAAAUAUAGUAUACAUCUAUGAUUUCUUGAAGUUACAGGGCACUCCUGCACAGGAUAAUUGAGCCGUGAAUGAUUAAGAGAUUGGUGAGCCGGCCAAGCAUUGCCCCAGCAAGUAACAGUACAAACAUGGGGGCAGUCAAAACAGCUUAGUUCAGUUCAAACAGGAUUUAUGGUGCAUUGGCCUUUUAUGAGAAUUUCAAAUAAAUCCACUUGUUGUGAGCAUAUUAAAGCAAUGAUGUUCAACUUAAUACUAUUCUCAUUAAUUAAGCUCAUCUGGAAAGGAAAACAAAAUGACUUCAAUUUUAUGUAAUCAAGAUAUUACUCAAGUAAAAUAUAACCGGGAUUUCUUUGAUCACUUCAAAAUCAUACCAAUGACUCCUAUGCAAUUAAAUAUAAGGAAAGAAAACUAGCAAUCAGUAUUUACCCUGAUAGAAUCGAAGGGACGAGUUUUCAGGCCGCAGGGAGCCUUGAUGGUGUUACCAUGCAUAGGGUCACUGACCCAUGUAACAAUUUGGCCAGAGCGGCGGACUGCCCUAAUUAGAUGAGGAAGCUUCACUCUCAUGUUCUCAGCACCCAUUCUAGUGAUAAUAGUUAUCCUCCCCGGUUUAUUCUGAGGAUUCAAAAUCUCAAUAAGCUUCACUAGCUCAUUAGGAUCCAUCUUAUCACUGACCUGCAGAACAUAAGCAACCACAUUAGUUACAAUGGCAAUUAUUGUUCAAUUCUGUGCACUUUCUUGAUAGUUUUAAAACAAGUAUGUAAGUACAAAGAACUGACAAGAUUAUUUAAGACAACUACAGAAAAUGAACUUGGCCAACAUCUAAAUCAAUUUUAGGUUAGAUGUUUCAUGCAUGGUUUGUCAAACUUAUAGGGUUUCAUCCACAUUUAUCGUGACUAACGUAAUUCAAUCGCAUUAAAUAGACCAACUGAAAGCCAAAGGUAAUUACCUUAAUGCCAAGGGGAUUUGCUACACCUUUCAAAAACUCAACAUGCGCACCAUCCAGCUGCCUGGUACGUUCUCCAACCCAAAGAAAAUGGGCAGAGCAAUCAUAGUAAAGACCAGAAGUUGAAUCCAGCCGGGUUAGAGAUUGCUCAUAUGGCAAGAGCAAGCACUCAUGGGAUGUCCAGAACUCAGUAGUUGUCAUGAUAGGAUGGUCAACGGUGAGUCCAGCUGCAGACAUGAAUCCAAGGGCCUCAUCAACCCGGUGAGCAAGUUCUCGGUACCUAUCAUACAAAGAUAGCAGUACAUGUAUUAGAGCUUCAAAUUAAUUAAAAAGGAAGCAAUGAAAACAAAAUCCAUAAUAACUAAAACUGUGAAGUCUCAAUUACAUGGGCCAAUCCAAGAUAGUUAUAAGUUAGUACAACUUAAGAUUUUUUCGGACAUUAAAAAGUUAUGAUGAUCCAGAUAAUUUGGAUCAGCAUAUUUCCAACUAUACACGUGGUGUUGACAGAAUUGUAACUUGGAUUUAGGUUCCAUGAUUCCUCCACACAAAAACAAAUUAAUAAUCAAAUUCAGAAAACACAUGAAAAACAGAAUUACUGAUUCCAAAUAAGCAGAUUCUCUUAUAACCAAUACUAGGAAAAAAAAAAAAAACAGGUUAAGAAUAGAAAUUAGAAGGACACAAAUAAAGUUAUUUCAGAUAACUUGAACAGGCCAAAACUAGCAGUAAUGUAUUGAUGUUGACGGAUAUGGCAUAUUCGGUAUGAAACACACUUGAUAAGUCUUUUUACCAUAUACAAUUGACCUCUGUACAAAUAUGAAACAUGAAAAAUAAAAAGUGAAAUAAACAAUUUUUCACAAGGCCUCCGCCAAAAAAAUCCAAAUUCCACCGCAAAGACUAAAUCACAUAGACAAUAAAGCUAUAGCAACAGUAAGUUAACCAACAAGGACGAGAAAUUGAAAAAAAAAAAAAAAUUUACCGAU
rnacentral:lncRNA from 1 species